rnacentral:rRNA from 1 species
GUGUCAGCCGCCGCGGUAAGACGGAGGGGGCUAGCGUUGUUCGGAAUUACUGGGCGUAAAGCGCGCGUAGGCGGUUUUUUAAGUUGGGUGUGAAAGCCCGGGGCUUAACCCCGGAAAUGCGCCCAAGACUGGGAGACUGGAGUCCGGGAGAGGUGGGUAGAAUUCCGAGUGUAGAGGUGAAAUUCGUAGAUAUUCGGAGGAAUACCGGUGGCGAAGGCGGCCCACUGGACCGGUACUGACGCUGAGGCGCGAAAGCGUGGGGAGCAAACAGGAUUAGAUACCCUGGUAGUCCACGCCGUAAACGAUGGGUGCUAGACGUUGGGGAGCUUGCUCCCCGGUGUCGUAGCUAACGCGUGAAGCACCCCGCCUGGGGAGUACGGCCGCAAGGUUAAAACUUAAAUGAAUUGACGGGG